GAGGGUAUAGCUCGGUAGUAGAGUGCAUGCCUAGCAUGCACGAGGUCCUGGGUUCAACCCCCAGUACUGCCA
rnacentral:tRNA from 1 species